rnacentral:rRNA from 1 species
AGUUGAUCCUGGCUAGGACGAACGCUGGCGGCGUGCCUAAUACAUGCAAGUGGAACGCAUGAUUGAUACCGUAGCUUGCUACACCAUUAAUCAUGAGUCGCGAACGGGUGAGUAACGCGUAGGUAACCUGCCUACUAGCGGGGGAUAACUAUUGGAAACGAUAGCUAAUACCGCAUAAGAGUUUUUAACACAUGUUAGAAAUUUAAAAGGAGCAAAUGCUUCACUAGUAGAUGGACCUGCGUUGUAUUAGCUAGUUGGUAAGGUAACGGCUUACCAAGGCGACGAUACAUAGCCGACCUGAGAGGGUGAUCGGCCACACUGGGACUGAGACACGGCCCAGACUCCUACGGGAGGCAGCAGUAGGGAAUCUUCGGCAAUGGGGGGAACCCUGACCGAGCAACGCCGCGUGAGUGAAGAAGGUUUUCGGAUCGUAAAGCUCUGUUGUAAGAGAAGAACGUUGAGUAGAGUGGAAAGUUACUCAAGUGACGGUAUCUUACCAGAAAGGGACGGCUAACUACGUGCCAGCAGCGGC